rnacentral:rRNA from 1 species
CUGCUAUCACUCUUGGGAUGGACUGCGGUGCAUUAGCUAGUUGGUAGGGGUAACGGGCCUACCAAGGCGAUGAUGCAUAGCCCGAGUUGAGAGACUGAUCGGGCCACAUUGGGACUGAGACACGGGCCAAACUCCUACGGGAGGCAGCAGUAGGGGAAUCUUCCACAAUGGACGCAAAGUCUGAUGGAGCAAAACGCCGCGUGAGUGAAGAAGGGUUUCGGCUCGUAAAAGCUCUGUUGUUGGUGAAGAAGGACAGGGGUAGUAACUGACCCUUUGUUUGACGGUAAUCAAUUUAGAAAGUCACGGGCUAACUACGUGCCCAGCACGCGGUAAAU